rnacentral:rRNA from 2 species
UACGUAGGUGGCAAGCGUUGUCCGGAAUUAUUGGGCGUAAAGCGCGCGCAGGCGGUUCCUUAAGUCUGAUGUGAAAUCUCGCGGCUCAACCGCGAGCGGCCAUUGGAAACUGGGGAACUUGAGUGCAGGAGAGGGGAGCGGAAUUCCACGUGUAGCGGUGAAAUGCGUAGAGAUGUGGAGGAACACCAGUGGCGAAGGCGGCUCUCUGGCCUGUAACUGACGCUGAGGCGCGAAAGCGUGGGGAGCGAAC